rnacentral:lncRNA from 1 species
CUCACCCUAUCUCUGAUUCUUCAGAUUCUGAUCUCUCUAGCUAUGACAUCUAUUAGAUCUAGAUUAGUUUGUCUCCUAUGUCUAGGAUCUAUCUUAUGGGCUUUGUAUUUGUUGGCUAAUUAACUCUUGGAUAGUUUCUAUCCAUGACUUUUGUAUUUUGAGUUGACUCAUGUGUAUUGGGACACCUUUUGUAUUCAGUCACUUUUGAAUAUAUAUAUGUGCUUUGACUUUCAAUGAAUGUCUAUGAAUAUGAUCAAAUUGAAUUGUUUUAAUUAUGAGAUAUGAAAAAUAACUCAUAUUAGUGCUGAGAAAUAUUAUGAAUUGCAAUAUCUUCUAGAUGAGCAAGUUGAUAUAUCCUUUAUGUUUGCUAUGUUGAGAGGGAGUAGAGAAAUAAGCAAUCAAAGAAGGGGGCUAAAGAAGUAAAAUAUGGUAUCAAAAAAGGAGAGUAAAGAAAAUAUAUCUUUUUUAUCAUCUUUCUUUUCUUUUCUCUAUCCUUAAAAUCCCUUAAGACCUUAAUUGAUGCUAUCAAACAGGGAGAGUAAAAAAAAAUUUAUCCUUUCAAGAUCCCUUAAAAGGAGGAGUAGAGAAUCUUAAUUGAUGCUGUCAAAAAGGGAGAGUAG